UUUCGGGGGCGGGUCGCCGCUCCGACGUUCUUUGAGCAGCGGAGAGGAAAGUCCGGACACCGCAGGGCGGGACGCCGCGCAAGCCCACACGCAAGCGCGGGCGGCGCGCUUCAAGGCGCGCCGACGGAAAGUGUCACAGAAAACAAACCGCCGCUCCGGGAAACCGGCCGCGGCAAGGGUGAAAAGGUGGGGUAAAAGCCCACCGCGCCAACGGCAACGCUGGCGGCACGACAAACCCCGUCCGGUGCAAGGCGAAAUAGGCGGCUGAACGGCCCGUUCAACAGCCGCGGGUCCGCCGCACCGCGCGGCACGUUCCGCACCGUCGGAACCGAACCGCGCGGCGGACGCCCACGCGUCCGAGAGAAAUGGCGCCCGCCGCCGCAAGGCGGCACAG
rnacentral:RNase_P_RNA from 1 species